UACGAAGGGGGCUAGCGUUGUUCGGAAUCACUGGGCGUAAAGGGCGCGUAGGCGGCGCGACAAGUCAGGCGUGAAAGCCCCGGGCUCAACCCGGGAAUUGCGCUUGAUACUGUCGUGCUUGAGGCCGGGAGAGGAUGGCGGAAUUCCCAGUGUAGAGGUGAAAUUCGUAGAUAUUGGGAAGAACACCGGUGGCGAAGGCGGCCAUCUGGGCCAAUAUUGACGCUGAGGUGCGAAAGCGUGGGGAGCAAACAGG
rnacentral:rRNA from 1 species